AGGCAGUAUUGUCUGAUCAGAAACAGGCAGCCCUCGGAGAUGCUAACUGGGCUGCAAGAGGACUGAGAAAUGCUCUGAGUUUACCAUCUUUCCACCUGGCUUCUUCACAGACUUCAACAUCAGUUACUGACAGAGCCGUGGGGACAGCGCAAGUAAGGAGACAGACGGGAGGCAGUGGAACUCUCUGGAAGAGAAGAGUCUCAGAACACCGCAGCUGCUCUCCAUCUGCCAGCAGACAAGUGAUGCCACUCCCUAAUAACAGCACAGCCAUCGCUCCCCAGAGACCUUCUCUUGGCACUCUCCAUGACCAUAAAGCAAAACACAUGCAGAGACUGAACUGGAACAAGAGAAGGGCGCAGGGCAGGGAUGGACACUACUGAAACAAACCACGAGGGACCAAGACCCACACUCUGAAGCACAGGGACAGCAAGAGCCACGAGCUGCCUGGGAAGAAGAAGACCGUCCAAGACAUGUCUGAGCAAAUCCCACAGCAUCAAGUCAUCCAGAACAGGGCUCACAGCAUCGAGAAUGAUGCAGGACGGGUGCACGCGCGCACACGCGCGCGCACACGCGCGCGCACACCCAACCUACAGGUCAGAACAAUUACAUUCACGCUCAGGCCUACACUAACGAACCUAUCAAGAAGAUAAAAAAAACCUGUCAGGAACGGAGGCUGCACACUGUGCACAUUCAACAGCUGAUCUUUCUAUGGAAUACUACACUUUGGGCUAAAAUAUGGCACCAAAGAACUGUGGCUUCUGUUUGCAGUUUUGCUGACUAAAAUCAGACACAGGAUGGGAAAAAGAAGCAGCUGACCACCUUAUAACCUUUACCAAACCAAACCAAACCAAAACAACCUGAGCCUGAGGAGACAUCUCAGUAAAGUGACCUCACUUAAGAUUAACAUACUUGAGUUCUUGGAGAAACAGACCGUAAGAUCUUGAGAUAAUGAGAAACGAACUCUUGAGGCUCUUGCUCUUUUCAAUGGUAUUUGAGUUUUUUUGGCUAUCAUAAAAUUGUCAAGGCAGCAGGAAAAAAUACCGGAAGCAGUCAGAAGCUAAGCAACUGAGGAGCAGCCUACGGAAGAGGAAACCCACUCUCUACCUCUAGAUGAGCACGGGACACUAAGACCGACAAUUCACUGUGGACACACAGACCCUGAAGGAGCCGGGGAGAGGAAAGAGUAUGAUCGAAAUAUACUGUAUGAAAAAUCAAGUUAACAUCUG